rnacentral:lncRNA from 1 species
AUGUGGUGUUUACACGCAAUGGAGUAUUACUCUGCCAUAAAGAAGGAUAAACCUGAGUCAUUUGUGGGAAAAUGGUUGCACUUUGAGACCGUAAUGUUGAAUGAAAUAAAUGAGAAGCACAAGCUUAAAUACGGCAUGGUUUCUCUUACACGAGGUCAAAAUAUAAAUAAAUUAAAGAGCAAAAUAAACACAAUAGGAAACAGAGAGAUUGACCUCGUGCAAAAGGAACCAAGAGCUGGAGGGCGGGAUGGAAAAAGAGCUAAGCUGUGCUCUGCCCCUGCACCGCCUGCCCGCCACGGGUGUGAUCACUGUGCCCUGGAACAGGUGCUGAUAAAAGUGAGAAUGAAACUGUCUGUGGAAAUCAUGGCUUACCAGCGUGGUCUUCUGAUCAUCACACAUGAGUCCAUCCUCCUCCCUUCGGGGGGGCUGCACGAGCCUCCCCUCAGGGUGCCACCCCGGCGCCUGCCGCGGUCGCGUCUGCAACGUCACUUUCACCGUCUGGUCGCGCCCUGUGACCGAACCGUCUCCACUCUGGGUGCGGCUGCGAAGGCGUCUUGUCGAUGCGUCCCUGGCUGUCACUGGUACCCACACCCUCUAGAUAAUUGCAUCUCAACUGCUGGGAAACUGACCUCAGGGCGUUGCAGGCAGAACACUUGCCGAGGAGGGAGCGAGGAGGGAGGGGACGCCCCGUCCAGGAAGAGAUCUCGAAGUGGGCACGACCGGAAAUGACGUUGUCCUGCUCCAAAGGCAGCGGACAUCGCUACCCAAGAGCUGCACAGGAAACCUAAAUCAAGGCCACCUUAUCAAGGGGACGUAGGUAACAUCUAUGUCUAGUCACCCUGCCUGCCUGUACAACACCCGCACAGCAGCACUGGAUGAGUGUGUGAGAUCAGGGCACUGUAGCCUGAAGAAAAUCUCCCUUAGACGGAAGCUCGGUGAGGUGUGUAGGUUGUCACCUCAGGAGAGGUUUUGUGUGUUGUGUACGCAGCUAAGAAUACUCAGUAAGCACCGAGUAAAGAUCACUACUUAUGGAAGAAAUGAAUGAGUCGAAACAAAGAGGAUCCAGGCACGGUGGCGCAUGCCUGCAAUCCCAGCACUCCGAGAUUUACU